GUCUCAGUAGCUCAGUGGUAGUAGCGUGCGAUUGCAGUUAGCACUCUAUCGCAAUGUCAGGCGUUCGAUCCGCCUCUGGGACU